rfam:Nematostella vectensis strain CH2 x CH6 NEMVEscaffold_41_Cont6726, whole genome shotgun sequence.
GCCUUCUUAGCGCAGUAGGAAGCGCGUCAGUCUCAUAAUCAAAUCUAGAAAUCUGAAGGUCGUGAGUUCGAUCCUCACACGGGGCA